UGCAAGUCGAGCGGACAGAUGGGAGCUUGCUCCCUGAUGUUAGCGGCGGACGGGUGAGUAACACGUGGGUAACCUGCCUGUAAGACUGGGAUAACUCCGGGAAACCGGGGCUAAUACCGGAUGGUUGUUUGAACCGCAUGGUUCAAACAUAAAAGGUGGCUUCGGCUACCACUUACAGAUGGACCCGCGGCGCAUUAGCUAGUUGGUGAGGUAACGGCUCACCAAGGCGACGAUGCGUAGCCGACCUGAGAGGGUGAUCGGCCACACUGGGACUGAGACACGGCCCAGACUCCUACGGGAGGCAGCAGUAGGGAAUCUUCCGCAAUGGACGAAAGUCUGACGGAGCAACGCCGCGUGAGUGAUGAAGGUUUUCGGAUCGUAAAGCUCUGUUGUUAGGGAAGAACAAGUACCGUUCGAAUAGGGCGGUACCUUGACGGUACCUAACCAGAAAGCCACGGCUAACUACGUGCCAGCAGCCGCGGUAAUACGUAGGUGGCAAGCGUUGUCCGGAAUUAUUGGGCGUAAAGGGCUCGCAGGCGGUUUCUUAAGUCUGAUGUGAAAGCCCCCGGCUCAACCGGGGAGGGUCAUUGGAAACUGGGGAACUUGAGUGCAGAAGAGGAGAGUGGAAUUCCACGUGUAGCGGUGAAAUGCGUAGAGAUGUGGAGGAACACCAGUGGCGAAGGCGACUCUCUGGUCUGUAACUGACGCUGA
rnacentral:rRNA from 1 species